AUUUUGUGAAUUUUUAAUCUAUUACUUAGCGAUCUUUCAGUGUAAUUGGCCUGAAGUGAAAACCACAGCCUCUGAUGGUGAACAGGCCACACGUGAGCCUGUGCUCAAAGCCAUGUUUUUGGCUGACACCCAUUUGCUUGGGGAAGUCCUAGGCCACUGGCUGGACAAAUUAAGAAGGGAAUGGCAGAUGGAGAGAGCCUUCCAGACAGCUCUGUGGUUGCUGCAGCCGGAAGUUGUCUUCAUCCUGGGGGAUAUCUUUGAUGAAGGGAAGUGGAGCACCCCUGAGCUAGUGUCUCGCUCUGUCACCAAGGCUGGAGUGCAGUGGCGUGAUCUCAGCUUACUGCAACCUCUGCCUCCCUGGUUCAAGUGAUUGUCCUGCCUCAGCCUCCUCGAGUAGUUGGGAUUACAGGCCCCUGCCACCACAACCAGCUAAUUUUUGUAUUUUUAGUAGAGACAGGUUUCAUCAUGUUGGCCAGGCUGGUCUCAAACUCCUGACCUCAAGUGAUCCGCCUGUUUCAGCCUCCCAAAGUGCUGGGAUUACAGGCGUGAGCCACCGCGCCCAGCCAUCUAA
rnacentral:sRNA from 1 species